AAAAAGAUUGCAAAAAAGAAAAACAGGGAAUCUCUCAGGUCAGCCUUCUAGGGUGCGUGCGCACAUUAGCACGGCCCCUCCACCAAAAUCAAUUCUUUGCAAAUUUCCAUUGCUGGGUUAUCUUACAUCCUCAAAUUCCAUUGUACAUUAUUGAGCUAUGCAUAUAUAUUCUAUAAACAGAUACUCCUACUAUCUACUCCUAAUUGUAGCAAAGACAAUGUUAAUGGUGACGUAUAGAGAUGAAAACGGCCUAGUCAAUCGGCACUUCUGGAUGCAAGAUGACAUCGCCGUCGUCAUUGAUUGUGCAUUGACUUCUCUCCCGAGUCCCAAGUCAGCCAGCGUCUAUGAUUCUAUGUACAUGAUCACGUCAGGCCAUGUACGUAGGUCUAUGCACAUGAUUCUACAAUAAUAUAUACUCCCUCC
rnacentral:lncRNA from 1 species